rnacentral:rRNA from 1 species
GACGUAGGGCGCGAGCGUUGUCCGGAUUUAUUGGGCGUAAAGAGCUCGUAGGCGGCUUGUUGCGUCAGCUGUGAAAACCCGCAGCUCAACUGUGGGCUUGCAGCUGAUACGGGCAGGCUUGAGUUCGGUAGGGGAGACUGGAAUUCCUGGUGUAGCGGUGAAAUGCGCAGAUAUCAGGAAGAACACCGGUGGCGAAGGCGGCAUCCUGGACCGGUAUUGACGCUGAGGCGCGAAAGCUAGGGGAGCAAACGGG